GAAGAGGGAGAGACAGAAACAUCAAUGAUGAGAGAGAAUCAUUGAUCGGCUGCCUUCUGCACACCCCACACUGGAGAUUGAGCUCGCAACCUGUGCAUAUGCCCCGACCGGGAAUCCAAUCGUGAUCUCCUGGUUCAUAAGUCGAUGCUCAAACACUGAGCCACACCGGCCAGGCAACAUUUGGUCAUUUUGAAGAGAACUGAAGUCUUUAAAACCACCCUCUCUGUACAGGAUCACUGGGGUAACAUGACAUGGCCCACUUCUUUUUCCCCCCUGCCCCUAGAAAGCACAUUUUCUGCUUCCCAGCACCCAAGUUACAAUUCUGUGUAAUGAGAUGGAAAUAGAAAUGUCUGAGGUCUUUCAGGGAAACCUUUUACUUUCCUGGUGAAAGGGAAAGAUGACCUAGUGCUGCUUCUUUGUCCCAGUUCAGCCUUGAGUGAUGUGGCCCUGAUGCCUGGAGAUGCAGCAGUGGUCAGACUGUGGGCAAGAAUGCCACGUACCAUGGCACAGAUUCACUGCACCAGCCCUGGACUGCUUACCUCCGGACUUCCUACACCAGAAAGAAGCCCUUUCUUGUUUAAGUAGAUUCAGGUUUCUGUUACUUAUGGACAGACAAACCUAACUGAUAUAGAAUUGGUAUCUGAAAAUUAGUGACUCCCAGGAUCAUUUUUAAAUUUAAUACAGGACUUAGGAAGAAUUGUUUAAUUGUAUUUUAACACAUGUUUAGUACAGUCUUAAAUAUGGUGCCUGCUGGCCAGCUCAGGGGGGUGGGGAUGGGGGUGGGAGCAAAUUCAGAAAAGGAACAAUGGCCUCUGCCAGCAUGUUUGGGAGGAAGCUGUCAUGUCUUCCCUACCCACCCCACCCCCACUUGCCUCCCCCAGGUCUUGGCCCGAUGCUGGACAAUUCAGUUCCUCCCCAUUUGUCUCUGGUGCCUUUCAAGCUGCUGCCCCAGCACUGGAGCUCAGGAUUGAGUCUGAUUGCUGGCAGAGGAUCCAAUAGAAGAUACCAGGACCGGCAAGAAGAUAUGUGCCUAAGUCUGUAAAUGCAGAGUCUCCACCCCACCCCAUCCACCAACACCGACACUGCUGUGAGCACGAUACACUUCUAUGCAAAGCCACUGACAUCUGCCAGUUGUUUCUUCCAGCAACUUCCCUCUCUGAUACAGGCCUGUCCCUCUCUCUAGUCAUUAGCUGUCCUUCCAUCUGUGCAGCCUGUGCCUGAGGAAACUGCACAAUGGCCAGGCCAAAGCCCUGAACACAAUUAUUGAUGCCUCCAGAACAUGACACCAUUUAGAAAUUAAUUCCCUGGCCAAUUCUUGGAGCCAAGGCUAAAUUGGGAAACAGAGGCAGAGGAAGGAAUCAGUGGCCAGAGUGGAGGCACCAGGAGGCAAAACAAGAGCCAACGCUGCACUUGGUCACACGGUCCCACCUCUCCCCACUGGCCUGGCUUGCCCACUGUUUAGUUGGCCUCUAAAGUGUCCUUAUUACAGGUAAAGUGAAACCCCACAAUGAAGAAUCACCCUUUAUCUCCAGAAGUGAUUAUGUGACUAAUUUGAAAUCUCUGUGACUCCUUGUUUUCCUCUUCAGCAUCAAUUCUAGGACCAUAAUGGGGGUGGAAAGCUACCACUUGGCGUGAGAAGUUUAGUCUGAAUUCUGGGAAAGAGGCAGCCUGGCUCCUUAACCGUAAAUAGGUCAUUAAGAACAAGAACAAGUGGAUGUUUCUCCCUCCCCCCACCCCCUCUAUCCCCUUUCCUCUUUCUCUCUAAAAACAACUUUAGAAAAAGACUAAAUAGAUUGGGAUUGAAUGGCCCUCAGUCCCAGCUGAGCCAACCCUCUGAGGACUGUGACGUCCCACCCGGAGGACAAGGACAGGAGGAGAGAACACAGCUCCCUGGAGAAGGGCAGUGCGGCACAGUGGGAACAGUGGCAUUGGUCAGGAGGCCUGCAUUUACGUCUCUGAUCUGCCUUUGGCCGAGCAGCCAGGGCAAACCACUUCCUCUAGCUGAGGCCAGCUCCAUCAUCAGUGAAAUGGGGUGAAUGUUUGCCUCUGCUUGAGUCAAAAAUUUGUCAGAGUGUUACGAAAAAAAGAGAAAGCUCUUUGUAACAUUAAAAAAAAACAAGGCCUGAUUAUAUAUUGAUGGGAAUGGGCUUCAGAAGAGCAGGCCAGUUACAUUUUGAGUCCUUUAGAGCUCUGAUAUUUCCAAUGGCUCUGUUUGCAAUCCAGCCCCAUCAUUGGGCUCAGGGGGUGUCAGAGGCCUGAGUUAGAGCCUGUGAACAGCUUGUAAAGGACUACCACUGACUUUGUAACCUCAUCUCAGCUCCUCUUUCCUUCUG